UGUCAGGAUAAAAUUAUUUCAAUCAGUGUUUUAUGUGUGUUAUUUAUUUAGUUUUUGUUUAAUUUAUGUUUGUUAAUAAAUAUGAACGAAAAAAUAUUGGGCACUAAGUAAAGAAUUAACAAAAGUUGUUCCACCAUUAUUCUACUAUACAGAAACUAUACUAUGUGUAUACAACGGGAAGGCUGUGCACAGUGUUGCGAUUGUUUUAGGACGUGUUGCCAAAGCAUCACCGGUUGUAUUGGUGGCUGUUGUGAAGGACUUUGUACUGGAGUUGCGGGAGUCUGUGGUGGAGCUUUAUGUUUCGUCCUGUCUUUUUUCAUUUUGUUCACUGCGGCGUGCAUCACGGCCGUUACCUUAUUCUUUAUGGGUCCCUAUAACAUAUUCGGUGAUUAUUUAACGACUACCACAAAAAAGACAACAACAACGACCACAAACUUGGGCAUUCUGUGACGGUUACUGGACAAAAUAAAAUGCAAAUUAUUUCCACCGAUUUUUCCUAUAAACUGAGGCACCUCCAAUUUUAAGCAGAGAUUGUGAGAGACGGUUGGAAUAUUGCGAAGCGGAGGGAAGGAACACGAAUUCAGAAACGUAAUCUGCGCAUUUGGGAUGGGUGCAUUAAUAUGUGUGAUUGGAUAUAAAAAGUAAGUUCGGUGACGGCGAUGACUGUGAUCGGGACCGAGAUCCUUGCGGCCGCGCGUGCGCAUGUUGUUGUCAAGGAUGUACCAAUGGCAUCGCCGGAUGCUGUAGUGGCAUUAGUAGUGGAUCCAUAGGAGUGUGUGUUGCAAUCACGAUUUGCGCCACAGUUUUUGUCGUUGUGCUUGCUAUUCUAGUCUUUUGCAUCAUUUCUAUGUUCUUAAAGGGGCCUAAAAGCUUCUUCAAAAGUUUUACUUAAAAGUUGAAAUAAAAAAAAAAAGAUUACCGUCAUAACCUACGCUACUUACUUUAUUAAAGAAAUGUUUACUUUAUAAUCACAUCAUGUCCCCAAAUUGAACUGGGUUGCAAUGGAAUCGUUCCAAAUUUGAUGGUAGACUCAGCUGGUGGUUACGGCGAUCUGAGAUGUCAGUAAGUUCGGCGAUGGUGACGACUGUGAUCGUGACCGCGAUCCCUGUGGCCGUGCGUGUGGUGCGUGUUGUGGAUGUCUUAAUGACACAAGUAACAAUGUUUGUGGGGGUUGCUCCAGUGGCCUCUGCAGUGGUGGUAUAGCUGGAUGUAUUGGGACCACCGUUUGCAGUGCGUGCUGUAUAGCCGCGAUUACACUCAUGGUGAUAGGCCUCGUUCUUAUACUGCGCAAUCCCAACGGAAUUUUAGGCAAAUUACUGAAACUACAGAAAUAGACUUUUUUGAUAAA